GAUGAACGCUGACGGCGUGCCUAAUACAUGCAAGUCGAGCGAACGGACGAGAAGCUUGCUUCUCUGAUGUUAGCUGCGGACGGGUGAGUAACACGUGGAUAACCUACCUAUAAGACUGGGAUAACUUCGGGAAACCGGAGCUAAUACCGGAUAAUAUUUUGAACCGCAUGGUUCAAAAGUGAAAGACGGUCUUGCUGUCACUUAUAGAUGGAUCCGCGCUGCAUUAGCUAGUUGGUAAGGUAACGGCUUACCAAGGCAACGAUGCAUAGCCGACCUGAGAGGGUGAUCGGCCACACUGGAACUGAGACACGGUCCAGACUCCUACGGGAGGCAGCAGUAGGGAAUCUUCCGCAAAGGGCGAAAGCCUGACGGAGCAACGCCGCGUGAGUGAUGAAGGUCUUCGGAUCGUAAAACUCUGUUAUUAGGGAAGAACAUAUGUGUAAGUAACUGUGCACAUCUUGACGGUACCUAAUCAGAAAGCCACGGCUAACUACGUG
rnacentral:rRNA from 1 species